AUUGAACGCUGGCGGCAGGCCUAACACAUGCAAGUCGAACGGUAACAGGAAGAAGCUUGCUUCUUUGCUGACGAGUGGCGGACGGGUGAGUAAUGUCUGGGAAACUGCCUGAUGGAGGGGGAUAACUACUGGAAACGGUAGCUAAUACCGCAUAACGUCGCAAGACCAAAGAGGGGGACCUUCGGGCCUCUUGCCAUCGGAUGUGCCCAGAUGGGAUUAGCUAGUAGGUGGGGUAACGGCUCACCUAGGCGACGAUCCCUAGCUGGUCUGAGAGGAUGACCAGCCACACUGGAACUGAGACACGGUCCAGACUCCUACGGGAGGCAGCAGUGGGGAAUAUUGCACAAUGGGCGCAAGCCUGAUGCAGCCAUGCCGCGUGUAUGAAGAAGGCCUUCGGGUUGUAAAGUACUUUCAGCGGGGAGGAAGGGAGUGAAGUUAAUACCUUUGCUCAUUGACGUUACCCGCAGAAGAAGCACCGGCUAACUCCGUG
rnacentral:rRNA from 1 species